rnacentral:rRNA from 1 species
CAGUAGCCGCGGGAAUACAGAGGGUGCGAGCGUUAAUCGGAUUUACUGGGCGUAAAGCGUGCGUAGGCGGCUUCUUAAGUCGUAUGUGAAAUCCCUGAGCUUAACUUAGGAAUUGCAUUCGAUACUGGGAAGCUAGAGUAUGGGAGAGGAUGGUAGAAUUCCAGGUGUAGCGGUGAAAUGCGUAGAGAUCUGGAGGAAUACCGAUGGCGAAGGCAGCCAUCUGGCCUAAUACUGACGCUGAGGUACGAAAGCAUGGGGAGCAAACAGGAUUAGAUACCCCAGUAGUCCCUGUCUCUUAUAC